AUCGAACGCUGGCGGCAGGCUUGACACAUGCAAGUCGAGCGGGGUGAUGGUGCUUGCACUAUCACUAGCGGCGGACGGGUGAGUAAUGCUUAGGAAUCUGCCUAUUAGUGGGGGACAACAUCUCGAAAGGGAUGCUAAUACCGCAUACGUCCUACGGGAGAAAGCAGGGGAUCACUUGUGACCUUGCGCUAAUAGAUGAGCCUAAGUCGGAUUAGCUAGUUGGUGGGGUAAAGGCCUACCAAGGCGACGAUCUGUAGCGGGUCUGAGAGGAUGAUCCGCCACACUUGGACUGAGACACGGCCCAGACUCCUACGGGAGGCAGCAGUGGGGAAUAUUGGACAAUGGGGGGAACCCUGAUCCAGCCAUGCCGCGUGUGUGAAGAAGGCCUUAUGGUUGUAAAGCACUUUAAGCGAGGAGGAGGCUCCUUUGGUUAAUACCCAAGAUGAGUGGACGUUACUCGCAGAAUAAGCACCGGCUAACUCUGUGCCAGCCGCCGCCGUAA
rnacentral:rRNA from 1 species